CCUACGGGAGGCUGCAGUGGGGAAUAUUGCACAAUGGGCGCAAGCCUGAUGCAGCCAUGCCGCGUGUGUGAAGAAGGCCUUCGGGUUGUAAAGCACUUUCAGCGGGGAGGAAGGCGGUGAGGUUAAUAACCUCAUCGAUUGACGUUACCCGCAGAAGAAGCACCGGCUAACUCCGUGCCAGCAGCCGCGGUAAUACGGAGGGUGCAAGCGUUAAUCGGAAUUACUGGGCGUAAAGCGCACGCAGGCGGUCUGUCAAGUCGGAUGUGAAAUCCCCGGGCUCAACCUGGGAACUGCAUUCGAAACUGGCAGGCUAGGGUCUUGUAGAGGGGGGUAGAAUUCCAGGUGUAGCGGUGAAAGGCGUAGAGAUCGGGAGGAAUACCGGGGGCGAAGGCGGCCCCCUGGACAAAGACUGACGCUCAGGUGCGAAAGCGUGGGGAGCAAACAGGAUUAGAUACCGAGUAGUC
rnacentral:rRNA from 1 species